rnacentral:lncRNA from 1 species
AGAGAGAGAGAGAGAGUUAGGGAUGGGAGACAAGAGAUGAUUUGAGGACAGAAAGUUAAAGAGAAGUGAAUAUAAAUGUAAUAAAAUGAUGAGAAAGCAUGAUGAACAUAAGCUAUAAUAAAAUAGUAUUAGGAGCUAAAAAGUGUGAAACUGUUUGAUAAUAAAAGAUGAUGACCAAAGAGAGAAUCAUAGCAAAGAGUAAUGAUUCAAUGCAAGAGUAGAAAUGGCUAUGGCUACUCAUCAACCCCAUUACAAUCACUUUAGAAGAUGAGCGCAUGAUUAUCUACAGCCCUAAACAAAUGCUUUAGUAAACUUAUACAGUCAUACUCUUUCUUCCCCCCUUGAUUCAUGCUUUGAUCAUCGCUCCUUUUUUUUUUUUGAAAAAUUACUAAAUUUCUAGUGCAUAAAAGAAUUCACAAAUUAGUAUCUUAAUUUUAAAAAACACAUGAAAAUAUUCUUAACACUUUAAAAAUUUACUAGUCAAUCUAUCCGUUAAUUUUAAUAUUAAGUAUUUUAUUAUUUAGUCUCUAUAAUUUUGAAAAAUUUAUUAGUUGAUCUUUCAAAUUUUAAAAAAAUUACUAAUUAAUCACUCCAUAUCAAGGGUAUUUUAGACUUUUUUGCAAUAUUUAACGGCUAAAACUAACGAAAAAAAAUUAAUUAGUAGACUUUUAAAACGUCAGAAAUAAAUUUAAUAUAUUUUUCAAAACUGAGAGAUCAAUUAAUAAAUUUCUCCACACCAUAAAUAUUAAAUAGUAAUUUUUCUUUUUCGUCAAUCUACUCAAAUCUUCAUAUUUUCUUAUACAAAUAAAGAUACAAAAUCUUUAUGUUUUCUUAUACAAAUAAAGAUACAAAAUUAAAAGAAAAUUUUGAGUUCAUUCUUACUUUUUAAUUUUAAGAAUAUGUGUAUCGGUUAUUAAAUCCAAAAUAGCAAUUAUAUUUAAAAAUAAUUCAAAAUCAAGAAAGUCUUUUUUCUCGAUCUUUCAAUAUUUUAUCAUUCUUACUAUAUUUUAUUAUUAUUUUAUUAGAAGUUUGAUUUAGGUAUUAUUAUUAAUUAUUUUAUUAUAUGUUUGUGUGUAUAUAUAAAAAAUAUUUAAAAUUAAAUGUUAUAUUAUUAUUAAUGGAUUCUUAGUCAGUUGAGGGACAAGAAGCUAAGUGUCAUUCAUAAUGGUAAUAAUCACUUUCCAAGAGGACUAAUACCAUUCUAAAUUGUAACCAAUAAUAGCUGCAACCUCCAUCAAGGCCUAAACCCUAAUCUAAUUGGAGCACAAACAGUCAAAUUUACAAAAAGAUAUGAAAGACAAAAGAGGGGAUUGGCAAAUUGUGUUUGGAUCCCACAAAAGUGAUCACCUUCUAAUUGAAUCUAUGUUUUCUUUUUUCUUUUUUUUUUUUUUUUUUCUAAAAUGAGCUUUGAGCUGUUUCCCAUUAGAUUUAUCUUACACAAAACAUGAGUACGAAAUAGGUUGUCUGGCUUUAUGUGUGAACUAAAAAUAAUUGUGUUUCACUUUGGAUGUGUAAUCUUAAGCCAAUUUUGCUUUGGGAUUGUCUUAAACAAAAGUGUAAUCUUAAGACAAGACAUUCACGCGUGCAAUUGGAGGAUGUGUUUCUUUCUUGUGGGUCUUCAUUCUUUCAUCUCCUCUAAAACCUUUAUAAUAUGCUUUUUUUUUUUUUUUUCCUUUUAAAAAAAAUAUUAUUUAGUCUCCAUAUUAUAAAAAAAGUCACUAAUUAGCCCUUUAAUUUUAAAAAAUAUAUUCAAAACAUUCUUUAAAUUUUAAAAAUUCUAUUAAUUAAUCUCUCUAUAAUUUUAGUAAUUAAAUACCGAGAAAAGUCCAAAAUACCCUUAAUUAAAGAGAUCGACUAGUGUAUAUUUUUAUAAAUCAUGAGUAAAUUUUUCUAUAUCAUAAAAACUAAAUAGUAAAUUAUUAUAUUUCUUUAUUAUUGUUUUGGGGAUAAGACAUGCUUGAUAAACAGUUUUAAGGAUGCUUUGAUUUUGACAUUAUUAUAGGUUCAUUAUUAGAAGAAUCUAAUUGGGGUUAGGCUUUGAUGUUGAAAUUAAUGGUUAAAAUAAGAUUGUCUGGGCCUAAAAUGUUGGUCUAGGGCCUUAAAGGAGAGUGCAUAUCAAUGCCCUACUUUAGGGCAGGACCCAAAAGAUGUGGAGAAGAUGAUCCUCACAUCCCUUUUUAAAUCAUUUAUAAUGAAUUUUGUAGGGCCUUAAAAGACAAUGCAUAUGAGUACCCUACUUUAGGGCCGGACCCAAAAUAGAGGGUGAUGAUCCCACCCCAUUAAAUCAAAUCAAAAUCAAAUUUCCAUCCCUUUAGGGCAUGGUGAUAUCUUAUUUUUUACAAAGAAAAACACAAAUUGAAAUUCAAGUUAUUUGGAGUAGCUUAUCUUUUAUUCCAUUGCUAGAAAAUGUCUACUUGAUUAUUCCUUUUACUAUGACUAUUUGACCUAAAUACUAUAUUAACAUCUUCCAAAUAAGAAAAAGGUAAAAGUAAGUUUUACAUAAAGAAAAAAAAAAGAAAGAAAGAAAGAAUAAUUGGAUAUCCGGGAGAAAGUUAAGUCAUUUUCAUGGCAGAAAGAAUGAAUAGCAAAAAAGAAAUAGCAAAGAGAAAAAAAAAAUGAUUCUAAAAUAGAAGAAUCAAGAGUUAGUGGCAAUGAGAAUGAUUAUAGAGGAAGAAAGCAACCCUUCAUUUCAAAAAAAUUAUGUUCAUUGUACAUGUUCUUUAAAACUGUUUCUGCCAGUAAAAAAAAAAAAAAAAAAGAAAUGAAAUGCAAGACUUUGGCUAUAAACCUCCAUUAAAUAUGGUAAAGAGACUCCCAAAGUCUAGCUUAUUAUAGAAUCCAAGGCAUUAUUAAGGAUAAAACGUUUACCUCUUCUUUUAUGAUUAGUACAGAGAUGAAAAUGAUGUAUUAUGUAGUUUUCUUUCUGUUUUCUUUUUCUUAAAAAAAAAAUUGUAUCACCACUCCACAAUUAAAAUUAUUAAUUAUUUCAUUCUCUUUGUUUGCUAAUAUAUUCCUUCAUUAAUUACGGAUGGUAUUCUGAAAUCCAAAAAAUAAGAUUUUACGGUGUAUGUAAAUUCUGAUGGAAAGAAAUGUGUCCCUCUCCUUUUAUUCAUUUUUUUUUGUCUGCUAGUUACGUUUAACGGUCUUUCUGGUACAGUGUCACUUGUUUUUGUCACGCAGAUCCGUACGUAUGGAAGCGCUAGACCCCUCUCCACGCCAGGCGACUAUUUAAUUUCUCCCGGCACGCCUGCGGGUAGGGUUGUUAAGUGACUGAGUCUGCUGUCCUUCCUCAUCACAUCACCGGACUGAAUUUCUUCUUACUGGACCUAGGCUUGCGGGUCAUCCGGUCUGCCUGCGUAUCUGGAUCAAGGCUGAAUAUACUGGACCGGUCAACUGAAGUGGAUUUCUGAAACUUUGAACAUACUUCACUUCCUUAGGUCUGACUUUCCAGAAUGAGUGAAGUCCGGCGGUCAUCAACGUAUUAAUUAAUCCCCGAAAGAAAAAAUAAAAAUGGUGCGUUCCAUCAAACUCAUGGCAUUGCUUUCUCAAUCUUCCACAGGAGAGGAUUAGUUGUUUGAUAAUAUUUCCAUCCAUCUUCCUUGUUUAGUAUGUGGAAGAGUAACACAAUUCCAAUUGUCUAAAUAUAGUUUGCUUUAUAAAUUGGGGCUGCCAGAGAUUUGCUAUUUGCUGCGGUAAAUUUUUCAAACAUGCAAGCACUUGCUAAUCAGUUUUCAAACAGUGGUGUCACUCUGUAUCACAAGAUGUGCAUAGGAUAGGGUGCUUGGUUGGUUCCAUUUCAAUACAGUUCAAGUUAAGAAUGAAAAUCGAAACCCAAACUGCCUUGAAACUUCAAUUCCGGUUUGAUUUGAUUACUUUGAUUAAAUUCUAUUACUUACACAUGAAACUAUGACAUUUUUAUGCUCAUUUUAAAAUAAUAAGCAAUUUUAAAAUUUUAACAUAAAAUAGUAAUAAUAAAAUGUUUGUAUUAAUAUAAAAAAUAUAUUAUAUAUAAAAACGUAAGUUAUAUAAUUAAGAAUCAAAAAGUAAUGUAAUGCAUUUAUAAAUAAAAUCAGUGUUUUGGCUUAUUCCACUUCAAUGCAAUUUAGAAUGGUUUCGACUCAAUUCUUAAUAACUAAAUCAAACCAAAACAUUAGGCAUAAAUUCAAUUGGAUGCAAUUGAAUUCUUACAACAAAAGUUUUUAAUCAAUUCUAAUACGGUACAAUAAAAUUUUCAAUUAGAUUUUUAACCUUCAGGAAUCGAGACCAACCCUAGCUAUAUGGAUAAUUUCAGAAAACGUUAUCAUUUAUAUUCAAGGGGUUAAACCUGGAUUAGUAAAGUUUAUUAGACUGGAUGAAAACAACACCGAAAUGGGCAAAAUAUGUGAAGGUUAACAGCUAAUCUCACAUAAGAUUCAUACAAACAAGUUUCUAAAUGAGUUGUGCCAUGCAAAACUACAACCACAUGGAUUAUAUAUAUGUGCUGUUACAAAGAUGUUCAUCAACUCUACAAUUUCCUAAUUUCGUUCCCAGAGGAACAAACAAAAUUUUCCAAAGAAUUGCAGCAUGCGCCGUUCUACAUUAGCACUUGGCACCACAUGCUGAAAACUUCUGGUUAUAAGAUAACGAGCAUGUGACAAGUAUCAAGCAGACUGUAGAUUAUGGGAUUGCAAAGCAUCCUGCAGAAAUUUCACAGCCCCAUCGUAAUUUAGGAAUCCCAUGAACCAAAAUUCGUGAGUAUCAACAGAAAUAAUCUCAAUGUAUUUCUCAGCAGUAUUUGUUUUGCUUGACGAAGGAUUGACAGAUUUAAGCUGAUGUAAUGGGAUGGCCACCUAUUUUAACAAACAAAGAGUCAAAAUAUGGUAGGAGAAUCAUCACAGAGAGCGCAAUAGAUACUUGGAGAAGGGAAAAAAAAAAGAAAAAGGCAUAAAAGCAAUGAUACAAUAUUAUCAAAUGAUGGUCAAAGUAAGUCAAUACUGAUGAAAGAAGCAAGGGACGACUCCUAUGAAUGGCUUCCAAUUCAAAAUAGUAAGGUAACAUACAGCAGAUUUGCAGACCUGUAUAUAUUCUGAUAGGGAUUGAAACUGUAACAGCACAAUUACAGGUAAUUGAGGAAGAAAAGAGUAGAAACUAGCAACAGAGAAACAGGAGGAACUAUAGACUAUAAAUGAGAGAAUAGAGUAUAAAGGAUGACAAAUUUAUUAAGAUUCUUGGUAUUGAUUUAGAUAUUAACACAAGUCCCAGAAGCUGUAUUUAUAUAGCUCUCCAACUAAUUUUUCCUGCCUAUCUCCUCCUUCCUAACAGCUUCCGUUCCUACUUUCAGACUUCUAAAAACAGAAUGCAACUCCUACUAGGCUUCUUUGUAUACCUAGUCCUUCUAUAUAACAAUAACCCCCUCUUUAGCACCUUCUUGUCCCAUACUUAUUGCUGGUAUUAAGAUUCUCACAUCUUGACUUCAGAAAUGAGUCUAUGCCUGCAUUGAAGUUUACCGUACUUGAAAGACAAAGUGCUUCACUCCCUGGAUGUUUAGUUCUGACACUUGUCUAGUAAUAGAAACUAGUAAUUAGAAGAGUUUUAAGGUACUGGACAUUCGAGCACCCAGUAUAUUAGAAUGACCUAAUUCUAAGAUAAGAUCAAAAGGAACCUUUAGCACUUAAGACCAAUGGCCAUGGUGUUGCAUAAUAGAAGACAAAUAAAAGUCAAGGCACUAACUUUAAGGUACAACACACUAAAAGCCCUGAACAAAAAGAUUAGUACUAAGUAAAGCUUACUUUCAUCCUCAAUCACAUAGCUUCUUAAAUCCCAUUGUGGUCACUAAUUUUGAAUGUUUCAUGUAAAAUUGCAAUCAAUAAUCCCACUGGCAAUAAAUUAAGAAAUUGUGGAACAAAUAUGUACAGCUUAAAAUGAACAAUAUGCCAAUAAUGCUCCAAUAUAGCUACAAAUGCAUAUACUUAAAUAAAAGUUCAACUGAUGAUUAUAAUGAAAAGUAAGAUCCUCCAACUGUUGAUAUUGCACCAAAUCCAAUGGAUUUAAGAAGUGCAAAUUAAAACAUACCUUACAGUAGCUCCAUUCAGUUUGGCCAUCAAAUUGAUGUUGAAGGGGAUUGUCACUACAAAAUGCAAGCUUGGCUGUAGAAACGUAUAAAAUCCCCAUAACUGGACCAGCUGAUGUGGAUAAGUAACAUGCAUAUGAGUUCUGGAGUUGCUCCUCAGGUACUGUUUCAAACGUCUGUCGAAAGACCUUCUCGUAACCACCUUCUGCUAGAAUCUUUGUUCCUUGAGCAAUUCUUCCCAAUGCAGCAUCUGCUACGCUAGGUGCUGUCUUCACUGAUUUAAAUUAAAAAUAAACAGAAGAUGAUUAGUCUAUCAGAAUAAAGAAAAGCUAAGACAAAAAGCAACACAAGUCGCAUAGUAUAAUGAAGCAAAUAAAUAAACAAACAAAUUUUACAAUCAAACCAUUCCAAUAGGUCAAAUAAUCAUGUAACAAAAGAAAGUCUACCACUUGUUUAGAGUCUUCAAACAUCCAAUUUUACCUGACAUUAGUGCAAUCAGCUGAUAGUUGAUAAGCGACAGGAAUAUGACUAAGAUAGUUCAAAUACAAGUCAUGUACAUGCAAGAUGAGGAGGGGAAAAGCCACUAACGUGGGCUUGCCACUAACCAUAUACUCAAAUUGAUCUGUUGGAGAAAGGUAGCUUCAUUUUAGAAUUUAGCCAAAAAUUUCAAUAAAUUUAUCCUCAUCAGGAAUUCAUUUGCUAUAUCAUAUGUGAAUGCAGUUCAAUAAUUCAGACAAGCAACACCAUCAUCCUUUAAGUACUGCUAAAAAAGAUUUAAAGUCUUUUGUAAUGUCAUAUGUAACUAGACUUUGAAUCCUCAGUUUUUUCAGUGAUAAAGCAUGUAAUGAUGCUAUUUUAUCUAUGAGGAAGACCCUAAUGGACUAUUUAACUAUGAAUAAAUGUAAGGAGAGGAAGACUUUUUCUCAUUACCAUGUCAAACAUUGCUCCUUGGAUAUUUAAAACUACUUUCAUUAUCCUCUCUUGCAUCCAGUUAUCCUCUCUGUCUUUGCCUCACAUAUUCGCCUCUACUCUCUAAUUAUCAUCAAAAUCCAUGAGAAUCUGUCAUUAUAAUCCAAACACCAAUAAUUGAUAGAUGCAUAUGUUCAUGUAGCAAUGGCCUAUCAAAGAUCAGUGAAGCCACACCACUUAAACAAUGACAAACCAAAAAUCAGAAUGAAAGAAUAAAUUCAUGUUUCAGUCGCAAUUUUAAGAUAUCUUCUCAUUGAGAUUAUUCUAUUUCACUUCCAUCGCAGAAUUCAGUUAAGCAUUAAAUGUUAAGAAUUAUACUUCAAAAUAAUUAAAGUCGGAAGAUGAAACAAAACUCACAGUGCUGCCAUGUGUUUUCAGCGAGAUCCUCGACCAUCUUGGUAGCUUCACCCAUCUUUUUUCCCAGUACUCCUAGCGUAUCCCGCACGCUUCCCAUCGUAUCUGCUCCAAAAAGAAAAAACACAGAAAUCCCUGAAAAAGAAGAGGGGGGGGGGGGGGGGCAGAAAGAAACCUAAGUACAUUCGCUUAUUUAUAAACAUCGAAAUUGAUAAUUACCUGUUAAUGAAAAGGACAAGGAGGGAUGUGCAGGAGAUGAAGAAACGUAGGGAUUGGAUCCAUCAAAUAAAUCCUUGUCACUGCCAUUGCUGUCAGGUAAAAAACGAGGUUCUGUCACCAAUGCGGAGCGCCAGCGGACCGUUUUUUUCCUGGGGCUUGUACAGCUCGGAGCUUGCAACUGAUCAGCGUCACCUGGAGCCUCAGAAAGAAACCUAAGUACAUUCGCUUAUUUAUAAACAUCGAAAUUGAUAAUUACCUUUUAAUGAAAAGGACAAGGAGGGAUGUGCAGGAGAUGAAGAAACGUAGGGAUUGGAUCCAUCAAAUAAAUCCUUGUCACUGCCAUUGCUGUCAGGUAAAAAACGAGGUUCUGUCACCAAUGCGGAGCGCCAGCGGACCGUUUUUUUCCUGGGGCUUGUACAGCUCGGAGCUUGCAACUGAUCAGCGUCACCUGGAGCCUCUGUCUCAGCAACCGAUUCCGUCGCGACACUCCCCUUGUUCUCG